GAUGAACGCUGGCGACGUGCCUAAUACAUGCAAGUCGAGCGAACAGACGAGGAGCUUGCUCCUUCGACGUUAGCGGCGGACGGGUGAGUAACACGUAGGUAACCUACCUAUAAGACUGGGAUAACUUCGGGAAACCGGAGCUAAUACCGGAUAAUAUUUCGAACCGCAUGGUUCGAUAGUGAAAGAUGGCUUUGCUAUCACUUAUAGAUGGACCUGCGCCGUAUUAGCUAGUUGGUAAGGUAACGGCUUACCAAGGCAACGAUACGUAGCCGACCUGAGAGGGUGAUCGGCCACACUGGAACUGAGACACGGUCCAGACUCCUACGGGAGGCAGCAGUAGGGAAUCUUCCGCAAUGGGCGAAAGCCUGACGGAGCAACGCCGCGUGAGUGAUGAAGGUCUUCGGAUCGUAAAACUCUGUUAUUAGGGAAGAACAAACGUGUAAGUAACUGUGCACGUCUUGACGGUACCUAAUCAGAAAGCCACGGCUAACUACGUG
rnacentral:rRNA from 1 species